UGCGGAGGGAUCAUUACACAAAUAUGAAGGCGGGCUGGAACCUCUCGGGGUUACAGCCUUGCUGAAUUAUUCACCCUUGUCUUUUGCGUACUUCUUGUUUCCUUGGUGGGUUCGCCCACCACUAGGACAAACAUAAACCUUUUGUAAUUGCAAUCAGCGUCAGUAACAAAUUAAUAAUUACAACUUUCAACAACGGAUCUCUUGGUUCUGGCAUCGAUGAAGAACGCAGCGAAAUGCGAUAAGUAGUGUGAAUUGCAGAAUUCAGUGAAUCAUCGAAUCUUUGAACGCACAUUGCGCCCUUUGGUAUUCCAAAGGGCAUGCCUGUUCGAGCGUCAUUUGUACCCUCAAGCUUUGCUUGGUGUUGGGCGUCUUGUCUCUAGCUUUGCUGGAGACUCGCCUUAAAGUAAUUGGCAGCCGGCCUACUGGUUUCGGAGCGCAGCACAAGUCGCACUCUCUAUCAGCAAAGGUCUAGCAUCCAUUAAGCCUUUUUUUCAACUUUUGACCUCGGAUCAGGUAGGGAUACCCGCUGAACUUAAGCAUAUCA
rnacentral:rRNA from 1 species